rnacentral:rRNA from 1 species
AGAGUUUGAUCGUGGCUCAGGAUGAACGCUAGCGGCGCGCCUAAUGCAUGUAAGUCGAGCGAUGAGGACCCUUUCGGGGGUCCAUCAGCGGCAGACGGGUGAGUAACACGUAGGUGACCUACCCCGAAGAUGGGGAUAACGGAUGGAAACAUGCGCUAAUACCCAAUAGUCUUGACGGGUCGUACCGUCAAGUAAAGCUCCGGUGCUUCGGGAGGGGCCUGCGGCCUAUCAGCUAGUUGGUGAGGUAACGGCUCACCAAGGCGACGACGGGUAGGGGGUGUGAGAGCACGGCCCCCCACAAUGGGACUGAGACACGGCCCAUACUCCUACGGGAGGCAGCAGCAGGGAAUCUUGCACAAUGGACGAAAGUCUGAUGCAGCGACGCCGCGUGGAUGAUGAAGGCCUUCGGGUUGUAAAAUCCUUUUCAGGGGGAAGAGGAAGGACGGUACCCUUGGAAUAAGCGUCGGCUAACUACGUGCCAGCAGCCGCGGUAAGACGUAGGACGCGAGCGUUAUCCGGAUUUACUGGGCGUAAAGCGUCUGUAGGCGGAAGUGUAAGUUGGACGUGAAAGCUCCGGGCUCAACUCGGAGAGGCCGUUCAAUACUGCACAACUAGAGGCCAUCAGAGGGGCGUGGAAUUUCCGGUGUAGCGGUAAAAUGCGCAGAUAUCGGAAGGAACACCAGUGGCGAAGGCGGCGCCCUGGGGUGGGCCUGACGCUAAGAGACGAAAGCUAGGGGAGCGAACAGGAUUAGAGACCCUGGUAGUCCUAGCCGUAAACGAUGGAUGCUAGAGCGUGUUAUGAACUUUGGACCAUGAAGGUAAUGAACCGAUGCAGAAGCAGGAUCGCGAAGGCCACGAAAUGCAGCCCGACCAGCGUCUCGGUCAGCCUUUCGUAGUCCCGUGCCAAGCGCCGGAAGCGCGCCAUCCAGGCGAAGCUGCGCUCGACGACCCAACGGCGUGGCAACAGCACGAACCCAUGUUUGGCCGUGGGCAACUUGACCACCUCCAGGCGGAUCCCGUG